rnacentral:misc_RNA from 1 species
CGCAGCCGCGGUAAUUCCAGCUCCAAUAGCGUAUAUUAAAGUUGUUGCAGUUAAAAAGCUCGUAGUUGAAUUUCGGGAUCAAUAUGUCGGUCGUGCCUUGGUACGUACUGGUAUCAUUAGUCUCUCCUUUCUGAAGAACCAUGAUGUCAUUUAUUUGGUGUCGUGGGGAAUCAGGACUGUUACUUUGAAAAAAUUAGAGCGUUUAAGGCAGGCUCACGCUUGAAUACAUUAGCAUGGAAUAAUGAAAUAGGACGUUUGAUUCUAUUUUGUUGGUUUCUAGGAUCGACGUAAUGAUUAAUAGGGAUAGUUGGGGGCAUUAGUAUUCAAUUGUCAGAGGUGAAAUUCUUGGAUUUAUUGAAGACUAACUACUGCGAAAGCAUUUGCCAAGGAUGUUUUCAUUAAUCAGAAACGAAAGUUAG